UACGUAGGGGGCAAGCGUUAUCCGGAUUUACUGGGUGUAAAAAGCUAUGGCUUAACCAUAGUAAGCACUUGAAACUGUAUGACUUGAGUGCAGGAGAGGUAAGCGGAAUUCCUAGUGUAGCGGUGAAAUGCGUAGAUAUUAGGAGGAACACCGGUGGCGAAGGCGGCUUACUGGACUGUAACUGACGCUGAGUCACGAAAGCGUGGGUAGCAAACAGGAUUAGAUACCCUGGUAGUCCACGCCGUAAACGAUGAGUGCUAGGU
rnacentral:rRNA from 1 species